AGUUAUCAAUUUACUAACAAAUUAUGAAUUAUGAAUUUUACUAAAGUUUUAGGAAUAAUUUUUCUUAGUGUAAUUUUUAUAACAAAUAAUGUCGAAGGUGUUGAUGAGGUUAUAAAAGUAUCUUGCCAAAAAAAAUGUAGAAUAUGGUGUGUCUUUGAUUUUUGCUAUCAAAGUUGUUUGAAGAAUUAUUGUCAUGAACAUCCUCAAAUUUCUUCUAAAGUCAAUAAUUGUCGCGUCAGUUGUUCAACUCAUCGUUGUUUCAAAUUUAAAAAAGAUGAAAAGCUAAUGGAAAAUUGCUUGGAUGAAUGUUCAACAAAAUAUUGUAUCGAAGAUUAACAAAGUUAUAAUAUAUGCUACUUGUUUUUAUAAAAACAAAGUUAUGCAAGGAAAAUAAAAAAUAAAAAGCCAUCUUGAUGACUACAAAUGUAAAUUAAUGCUUCUAAUGAAAUAAAUAAUUUGACAACUCAAUGUUUUAUAUAA